AUUGAACGCUGGCGGCAGGCUUAACACAUGCAAGUCGAGCGGAGCGAGGGUGCUUGCACCUUAGCUUAGCGGCGGACGGGUGAGUGAUGCUUAGGAAUCUGCCUAUUAGUGGGGGACAACAUUCCGAAAGGAAUGCUAAUACCGCAUACGCCCUACGGGGAAAGCAGGGGAUCUUCGGACCUUGCGCUAAUAGAUGAGCCUAAGUCAGAUUAGCUAGUUGGUGGGGUAAAGGCCUACCAAGGCGACGAUCUGUAGCGGGUCUGAGAGGAUGAUCCGCCACACUGGGACUGAGACACGGCCCAGACUCCUACGGGAGGCAGCAGUGGGGAAUAUUGGACAAUGGGCGCAAGCCUGAUCCAGCCAUGCCGCGUGUGUGAAGAGGCCUUUUGGUUGUAAAGCACUUUAAGCGAGGAGGAGGCUACUUGGAUUAAUACUCUAGGAUAGUGGACGUUACUCG
rnacentral:rRNA from 1 species